AAGAACGGAAAGGCUUGCAGCUCAAAGAUUCGCCGGAUUGUUAAGGUAAAGGGGGUUUAUCGUCGAUUAAUGGGUAUUAUGGGAUAAUAUGUAUGGUGUAGUGAGAAACCGUUGAAUCGACCCUAAUUGGGAUUUGGAAUCUUGAAAAUUUGUGAUGAAUAAGUUGAGUGAAAACCGUGAAUCAAAUUGAUAAUUGUGUGUGUGUAAUCAAACCGAUAAAUGUGGUGAUGAAAUGGCGACGAGUAAGUUUGAGUGGGAAGGGUCUGGAAUGGGCACAUGAGAUCCUGCCCAAAGAAAACGCGUCUGGUGAACUGUCAUGUUCGCCUAGCGAACAUAACCUUCGCCUAGCGAAGGAACGCGCCUAACCUCGCCCCAGCGAGAUUGAGAGGUUUUGCUACUGUAAUGUUCGCUGUGGACUCGCUGGAGCUUCGCCUAGCGAGUGAGUGCUAGCUGUGUUUUUUCACCAAAACAGAAUGAGUUCGCUAUUACUUUCGCCUUGAGCUCGCCUAGCGAAUUAAUUUACCAAUUUCCUGGAGCUGUUCGCGUUGAGCUCGCCUAGCGAACCAGAGCUUCGCCACUGCCUCGCCUAGCGAGCAAGGCAGAAGAAGUGUUUAUACAUUGUUGCUGAGGUGUUCAUACAUGUGUUGAGGAAGUGUUUUAUAUAUGUGUUGAUGAUGUGUUGAUACAUGUAUUGAUGAUGUAUGAUGAUAUGCAAAAUGUUGUGAAUGUAUAUAUUAUGCAUGUAUUUGUGAAUGGACUGUCGUAUGGCUUAAAGUGUGAGCAUAUGUCAUUGUGAGUGGUUGUUGAUGCUGCAUUGCUAGAUGAUUAGUGUGCAUGGCAUAGCCUGUGGGGCUGUAGCUAAUUCCCAUUGUGAGGAAUUGGUGAGUGAAUUCGUUGUGAAUUGUUGUUGAUGUUUGCAUGCUAGAUGAUUAGCUUGCAUAGUCUAGCCUUUGGGGCUGUAGCUAAUUCCCAUGGUGAGGAAUUAGUGAGUGAGUCAUUAGAUCUCAAUGAGUGGGACUAGUGAGCUUAGUAGCCGUAUCCGGAGGGAUCGGUGAGCUUGAACUAUAUGUUCAAGGAUAGUCGGUACCGCAUGUGUAGAUCUCAUUGCAUAAAAAUAUGUAUGGCGUAUAAUAUGAAUGGAUGUGUUCCAAUAUUAUACGUGUGUUGUGUUGUUGUUAAGUAUGAUUUGAGAUUAAUACUGGUAUUGUAUAUUGAUGUUGAGAAUGAUGUUUAAGCCAAUGAGCUAUUACUGAAUGUGUAUUGCAAUUAGGGUGAUUGAUGUGUUAAUUACUUGGCAUUACAUGUUGUUUUAAUAAUGCUUAUUAUAUUGAUUGAGGAACUCACCCUUACACUAUUUUUCAGGUAACGAGAAAUGAGUUGAGUAGAAGCAAAUGCUUGGAGUCUAGUGUAGUCUCCCUAGUGGGUCAUGCUCUGAUAGAUGUAACAUCGGGCGGGAAAAACUUUGACUAUUUAUUGUUGUUGUUGUUGAACUAAAUUACAUGUGAUGUUACAUGUUUUGCAUGAUUGAGUUGAUCUCUAUCCGCUGCGUAAUUGUGCAAAUACUUUAUAUUUAACUUUAAAUAAA
rnacentral:lncRNA from 1 species